rnacentral:rRNA from 1 species
AACGAAGGGGGCUAGCGUUGCUCGGAAUCACUGGGCGUAAAGCGCACGUAGGCGGAUCUUUAAGUCAGGGGUGAAAUCCUGGAGCUCAACUCCAGAACUGCCUUUGAUACUGGGGAUCUCGAGUCCGGAAGAGGUGAGUGGAACUCCGAGUGUAGAGGUGAAAUUCGUAGAUAUUCGGAAGAACACCAGUGGCGAAGGCGGCAUCCUGGACCGGCAUUGACGCUGAUGAGCGAAAGCUAGGGGAGCAAACGGGGAUUAAGAA